GAUGAACGCUGACGGCGUGCCUAAUACAUGCAAGUCGAGCGAACAGACGAGGAGCUUGCUCCUUUGACGUUAGCGGCGGACGGGUGAGUAACACGUAGGUAACCUACCUAUAAGACUGGGAUAACUUCGGGAAACCGGAGCUAAUACCGGAUAAUAUUUCGAACCGCAUGGUUCGAUAGUGAAAGAUGGCUUUGCUAUCACUUAUAGAUGGACCUGCGCCGUAUUAGCUAGUUGGUAAGGUAACGGCUUACCAAGGCAACGAUACGUAGCCGACCUGAGAGGGUGAUCGGCCACACUGGAACUGAGACACGGUCCAGACUCCUACGGGAGGCAGCAGUAGGGAAUCUUCCGCAAAGGGCGAAAGCCUGACGGAGCAACGCCGCGUGAGUGAUGAAGGUCUUCGGAUCGUAAAACUCUGUUAUUAGGGAAGAACAAACGUGUAAGUAACUGUGCACGUCUUGACGGUACCUAAUCAGAAAGCCACGGCUAACUACGUG
rnacentral:rRNA from 1 species